CCUACGGGCGACAGCAGUGGGGAAUAUUGCACAAUGGGGGAAACCCUGAUGCAGCGACGCCGCGUGAAGGAAGAAGUAUUUCGGUAUGUAAACUUCUAUCAGCAGGGAAGAAAAUGACGGUACCUGACUAAGAAGCCCCGGCUAACUACGUGCCAGCAGCCGCGGUAAUACGUAGGGGGCAAGCGUUAUCCGGAUUUACUGGGUGUAAAGGGAGCGUAGGCGGUUUAGCAAGUCAGAAGUGAAAGCCCGGGGCUCAACUCCGGGACUGCUUUUGAAACUGUUGAACUAGAUUGCAGGAGAGGUAGGUGGAAUUCGUGGUGUAGCGGGAAAAUGCGUAGAGAUUAGGAGGAACACCAGUGGCGAAGGCGGCUUGCUGGACUGUAAAUGACGCUGAGGCGCGAAAGCGUGGGGAGCAAACAGGAUUAGAUACCCUUGUAGUC
rnacentral:rRNA from 1 species